rnacentral:misc_RNA from 1 species
GUGAAUCAUCGAAUCUUUGAACGCACAUUGCGCCUUCUGGUAUUCCGGGAGGCAUGCCUGUCCGAGCGUCAUGAAAACCCAUCCUCAAGCAUGCUUUGCUUGGUAUUGGGGGAAGAUGGUCAUCAUCUCCCCUGGAAUUCCUCAGCGGAAAAGCCUUCCCCGUCCACAGGUGUGAUAAUUACUGUUCGCCCGGUGACUGGAAGCAUGUUCCUGCUGUCAAUAGCCCCCCCAGCUUCUUCAUGAGUUUGACCUCGGAUCAGGUAGGGAUACCCGCUGAACUUAAGCAUAUCAAUAAGCGGAGGA